UCUCAGUGCCAUUCAGCCCCCAUCUCCAGGGACUGUGGCAGAGAGAUAGUUUCCCAAAGACAUGGAAGAAACCCAACUUUCUCUAAGGCAACUCACCAAGAGAGACUGAGGCCCCUGCAUAGCGGGGAUUCUCCUGCCCGUGAUGUGAUGACCACCUGUGGCCCACUCCAAGACAAGACUCCAAACUGACACUCUGGAAUGGCCAUCUGUCAGGACCCUGGUCUGGAAUUAGCUCUGGACUGACAGUUCUGCUCCCUGAACAAGUUCCUCACUGGUUCGGGAAUUCUGUCUGACCAUCUGCAGUGACUCUGCCUCUCUCUGCUCUCUAAUUCCCGUGUUCUCAUUUCAACCUCCUCAGCCUCAGAGGCUGCCCUAGCACUUUCUUAGGCUUUCUACAGUGUGUAUUGGUGUAAAGAGUGAUGUGUGUCCUAAGUUAGUAGAAGCUAUGAUUGGAAUGAAAGAACCUGUGAUUGCCUGACUUAUGACGAUCAGGUGACCCACGAGUAUUCACUGAACAUCAACUGCUGAAAGUGUUGUAGCCUGUGAAUUUAUCAUCAUUCAAUAAAUCCUGACUUUGUGGAAAGAUA